UCAUUUAAUCAUGGAUAACCUUUCCAUUUGCCACGGUACCUAUGUAUGUAGAACACUUAGCACUACCAAAUCCUCCUCCCACCUUGUGAGCUAAGCUAGCCAAGGUCUUUUCAUUUACUCUCAACACAAUAGUCUCAGGCUUCCAUACUGUCUUUGCUGCAGCUGUUCUAGGAGAAAUUCAUUCAUCUUGGAAAGAAGUGGCCAGUGUACAUACUGAAGAUGUUAUAGUUCCUCUUCAGCCAAGAACUUGAACUUUCCUUGCUUGAAAAGUCGAACUCCAACCAAGAAAUAGAAGAGACUAACUACAGAAGAAAAGUAAAUGCAGAAAAAGUACACACUUAAUAAAAAAAACUAGUGGGAUAGAGCAUAAAUUUAAAAUGUUACAGUACCUUAAAAAAGUGUUAAAAUAAUGAAAAAACUGCAAGUGCUUCCUGACACUUAGUCCGAUUAUCUCUGAAGAUACUGUUUUUGCAGAGUCAUCUAUCGAAUCUCAAGCAGCAAAUACAAGCCCUCUAAACUCACACCUUCUGUGACUGUUUCCUAAUAAAUACCCUACCUGACUCUCCCCUGACACAGCUCCACGCCAUUCCCUCGGGCCCUGUCACUGUCACCAAGGACAGUGGGACUCCAGCGCUGCCCCCCUGCACAUCAAGAGACCUCAGCCACUCUCCACACACCUUGCCCUCCAGACCAUUCACCAUCUUUGUACCCCUCCUUUGGAUACGCUCUAAUAGCUUGAUGCCCUUCCUACACUGCAGCAGCCACCCUGCAGUCAGUGCUGGAGGUGAGGCCACACAGCGCAGAGCAGAGGGGACAGCCCCUCCCCUCGUCCGCUGGCAGCUCUGGGCCUGGUGCACCCCAGGGUAUGGUUGGCCCUCUGGGCUCCAGGGCACACUGCUGCCUCAUGUUCAGCUCGGUGUCAGACAGAACUCCACGAUUCCUUUCCAUGGGGCUGCUUUCCAGCCCCUCAUCCCCCAGUCUGUACAUAUAGACAAGGCUGAUUUUUGCUGGAGCACACUCCUGGGGCAUUUAAUACAGCUUAGGUUAUCACCUAGCCUAAAUUUCUAAACUUCAAAAUCAGGAGAUUUUACAAGGGGGUAUUAUGCGCAGAUCCUAAAAUCCCGACAUGUCUAACAAUAAAGCAUAAGCAUAUCAAGGAUAUAUGACAACAUGAAGAGGUUCAAACUUCCCUAACUAAGCAUUCUGUUGACCCUGUGCAGUGUUAAACAAGCAGGCAUCUCACUGUGUCAGAAAAGCUCGAUGUAAAUCCCACUGUACAAGGAUUAGACUAGCAAAGUUUUCCUCACAUACCACAUGUUUCUUCCACUUCUCCCCUUUUUGACAGUGAGAGUGUUAGGGCUAACAGCACAGGGAAACUGAUAAAGAAACAGGACAGCCUUGCUUAAAAUUAUUAUUUCACUUUAAAACGGAAGUUAAAAAUAUUUGCUGAUUUUUUUUAAAAAGCUUACUUCGGACUUCCAUAGCAAUAACUGUAAGAGAAGCACUAGACUUCGAAGUUUGCAGAGCCAAAGCUAUCACCUCAGAUGAGAUGUACCUAUAUAGGUCUGCAUCAGUUUCAGACUACUUAUUAUUCCCGUCCAACAUGUAGCUUAACACGUUCUCUCGUGAUUAGUCAAUUAACACAACAACCAGCUUGUGUCCACAAAUGCACACUCUCAUUUGUCCUGAGUAAGUCUGAAUGCUCAGGUACUGAGGUGUUCUGUGCAGAACUAGAAUGACUACAGUUAGUAAACCCAUCCUCUGUAAAAAACAUAAUGAGUACAGCAUUGAUUCUGACACACUCCAGUGGCUUUGUCUCCCCUCCCUCCCUCUCCCCCUGCAAAAAAGCCACGCUUGCAAGAAUUUCUUCAUUUGAUAAUAACCCUUCUCAGACAACAUAGCCUGAGGCUAAACUUUUUUUUCAACUUUUUUUAUUCAGUUAAAAUACUCGACAGUCUUUAUCUACCACUUCCAAAAGCAAGAAUACUUCAUACUCCUAGUCUGAUUUUUUGUCAGUAAAACUGCUCAGUGGGCUAGCAUUCCCCCACAUAACUAAGCACAAAAUGAAGUCAGAGUAUUAAAAACACAUUUUGAACUACACAUUUUUAACUGCCUGAUCAAGCAGAAAAUUCAUCAACCACUUGUGCAAAAGCUUUAAGAAACCCAAUCAGUUAUUUUGAACUGUAUUUCUUCAUACUCCCCCUGGAAGGUAUAUUCAAGUGCUUUCCUUACUAUUAACAAGAGUUCCCUGUUACAAGCGUGAACUCUUGUUAGAAUACUACCUUGCACUUUAAUAUCAAGUCCCUUCAGACUCAUUUUUUAUUCAGAUUACAGGGAGAAACUGCUAGAAACAGAAGCCAAUUUUAGCACAACAAGUUUCCCUGGCCUAUCACAACUAGAUCAUUUUUGGCCUUGUCACAGCAUAGGGCACAGCUCCAAGUAAACAAGUCUACCUCCAGCAGCAAAACAUGCAAGUGUACUUCGAAGACUAAAAGCAAUGUUCCCUGAACUCUCAGAACAGACACAUUUAUUCAAAGAUGCCAGAAAACUCACCUAAGAAAUCAACGCAAUCUAUUAAAAUCAGUAUUUUUCAAAAUCUGAGAACUCCCCCAUGCACAUUUGGUUAGCACUCUGUUUGAAAGUUUCUCUCAAGUUGCAAUAUCCACACUUUCUACAGUAAUUCUGCCCUUAAUUUUCUAAAACAUCAUCCAAGGAACUUUAAAUACAUUUUCACCUCAAUGCCUCUAGCACUGACACAGUCAAGGCUUCACCCUGCACACCUUGAUGUAGAGUGCUCCCCAAAUCCUAACCACAUCACAGCUGUCCUUCUGCCCGAGCACAUGCUCUUAGCCAAGGUCUAACAGACUGUGCUCAUGACAAGCAUUCCUGCCAGCUGCUGCACCACUGUGGCAACACAUGUGCAUGCAAGUUUCACAUCACCCAACUUUUGCUGUCUCCACACCACAGUGUUUUGCUGUCUCACAGGCUAGCAACGAUCUCCCAGCUCUUCCUUUGCUCUCAUUUUUCCAAGACUUUACUCAACGUGGAGAAGAGCAGAUAAGAUUACAAGAGAUUUUUUUCCCAGUGGUAAGAAAAGAACAAUGUUUUAGAUCAUUGGUGGCUUCUAAUACACGCUUCAGUGAGCAAUUUGCCAUCUCCCUGUCACGCUGCUGGGCCAAACGAGCUCAACCAGAUUUUGGCUGUCCUUCUGGAUUGCUUUACAGACGGAGGAGGGCAAGCCAACAGGCCUGGCAGCAGCAAGCGCAGCAAAGAUAUAAGGCUGCUGCAGACACCUCCAGUGGCCCAGCUCACAGCUCUGCUCCAAGGAAAGCACCUGCACAAGCGAGGAAGUACAUUGCCCGGGACCCCCUCUCCUCCUGGAGACAUUCCAACAACCUGCCACAGGCCAGCAAUCACCCACCUGCGCCCUGGCUGCAGGAGAGCAGCGGGGGCGGCCCCACCGCUUUCUCUGCUUGUGCUUUUUCGGUGGGAAGCCGCGCGCCGCCGCCAUGCCCCCCUGCGCCAUGCCCCCGCGGCGGCGGCCGGGGCCGCUCCCGCCAUGCCCCGCGGCCGCCGCCUCGACAGAGCCCACCUGCCCUGCGCCGGGGGGCACACGCUGCCCGAGCGGAGCGGCUCCUCCGGCGCGGGACUCCCCGCCGCCCCGCAGCGCCAAAAGGAAGGCAGCAAAGAGCAAUCCCCGCUGCAAAUAGCGUUCAACAGUCAGCUGAGCCAGCUACACUGACGAGAGAGGUACCUGCCCCAGUUCCUUAUAGCCACUUCCAUCUGUAGGUGUGGGACGCUGCAGUGCGUUUUCUUGGUCACCGAGGCCCUCUCCCUGGCAAAAGAGGAUGCUAAUACUAGAUCCAGGACAGCACCACCCCAGGUUGGUUGGUCAGCAUCUGUGUUAUCCUUACUCCCUCCAGAAAUGUCCAUGAUGGCCUUUCACUUGCAGCUGAUGCCGAGGAGAUUGAAGAUCACCAGAGGAACAAAUGUCAGUGACUGGAGAACCCCAGCAAUGUUGUCAUACAACAGAGGUGCUCUAGCUCAGGCUUAGCAGUUGAGGGUAUAAGAAGACACUGCCAAGAGAACUUUCUUCAGGGAUCAGAUGUACUCUCUGAAAAUAAGGUGGCGCGUUCUGGUGUUAGGUUCGUUGGUUGUGUUUCAUUGUUGUCGUUAUUUUGGCGAUGAAGUUAAGUUGGGUCAGAAACUGAAUGCCUGUCUCCUGUGUGAAUGUGUUUGUGAUCAGUUUACAUGUUUGUUCUUGGGCCAGCACAGCCUUUCAGCGUUUGUACAGUAUUCAUGUUCUCUGAGUACAUGGCUUUCAUUUUGUGAGAUUCCUCUGAUCACUUUAGUUGUCCUUCUCUGCAUCUGCUCCUGCCUGACUUAAUCUUACUUGGACUUGAACUGUACCUCACACAAAUCUCACUGGUACAAUUUGUGCCUAUAUUUCAUGCUUUGCACGUGCCCUGCAAAGCACUUCCCCUUCUCACAGUGCUGCCUUCUGUGUAGAUACCUUAGGACCAGCUGUACACAUUUGCCUGCCUGUUACUUUCUCUGCACUUGUCAUCCACUGAUCUCCAGCUUAGAGCUGAAAUUUUUGCUAUUGUUUCUGAAGCAAUCUGACUUCAGUUGACUUUGAGGUCUGGGUUGUGGUGGCUUCACCCUGGUGGGCAGCUGAACAGCAGCACAUUGCCCUCUUGCUUUCCCUCCUUGGAGGAAAAGGGGGAUAGAAUACAAUAAUAAACUGCUUAAGGGUUGAGAGAAGGACAGUGAGAUUGCUCACCAGUUACUGCCAGAGGCAAAAGCUCAGCUUAGGGAGGUUAAUAUAAUUUUUUGCCUCUUAGAACAGAGCAGUAAGAACUAAAAGCAAAGUAAACCUACCUAGCCACUCACACCCUCUUCUGCCUCUUCCCCCAAGCUUUGCAGAGGAACUGGGAAUAGGGGCUUUUUAUGUGAGUGUAACAGAGGGUGGUACAGCCUAGACUGUGCUAGUAAACAGAAUUUAGAUUCCUUCAUAUAACUUGGGCUGAAUGAUACAGUUUUCUCCAAACACCUUCUAACAUGCAGAUGAGUGCACAGACACGUGGUCAUGGAUAUUCACAUAUAAACUGCCACAGCAAGUGUUCGAACACAGAUGGGUCAGCAGGCUCACUUGGGAGUGUGCCCUGCUUCAUUAGGUGGCUGAGAAGCAUGCUUGGUGCUGAAUUUUUUUUAGAAGAGAACUGUAUGGCUUCUUAGCUGGCUGUGCUCCGCAUUCCAGUUGAGCACUUCUUACAAUUUCAAGGUUCAACAAGCAAUUCAGCUGGGGCAGAAGGAGUAAUUACAGAUUUGUGAAAGGCUGAAAUGUAAAACAGAUGGAUAGAUUGUUCCUUCCCCCUGCCAACCAAAGGGAGAAAAAUAAUUCAGACUCUCAAUAAAAGUGAAUUCUCUUAGCUUGAAGACAUCUUCUCUCCUUCCCAAACUGAAGAAUGACAGUGCAGUGCAGGAGAUGGCACUGCACACUUGAGCAUCAAAUACUGUGUAUUUCUGAUACUCAGCUUACCAUCAGGAUCCCCAGUGUCAUUGUGGCCAGCACAAGUACUAGGUAGCUGUGCCCACCGGAGUACUGCUGCCGCUCUGAGUUCUCCUGAUGGAUGCCUGUUCAGCUGACAUUCUGGUGAGUGACUACUGAACUCUUCAGGCAAAGCCUUUUCUAGUGCGAACCAAAGUAGGGGUAUGUAGCCUUUAAUUCAUGUGCCCCUUCCCACAGCAGCCUUCUUGGAUGUAAGAUUCCAGGUUUGGCUCUGAUUUCACAUGACUACCAGUAAAAACAAAUACAGGAAAAAAAAAAAAAACCCACCGUUUCUUGGGAUUUAACAGCAUGCUUUCCCUUGUUAACUCUAAAACAGUUGGUUUCUCUUCAAAGAGGCAUCCCACUGGCAGUACAGGAGAUAGUUUAGACCCAUGGGCGGGGUGUCAGAGUGGGCAUCCAGCAGCCUGCUGCUGGUCCUGCCCAGCGCAGCCCAUCAGGGACUGAUAGUGAUGUGAGUUCUCCGUGGUUUUGUGGUGAGAGCUCGACAGAUCUUCAAAGUUGCAGUGACUUAAAAAUUAACUUCAAAAUAUUUUUUUAAUAAGAUAGAAGAAGCAAACUAAAUUACUAACAUUGGGAACAAAAAAUAACAAUCAUCCACUAAUGGUUUGUCAGAAGACAAGUUCAGUGAAGGGGAAAAUCAAAUUAGGUGCUACUGAGUUUGUCUCUGCUUUCUUGCUUAAAUAGUGUUUUCUGAGAUCAAAGAACGGAUCAAGCUGCAUUUCCAUUUCCGGAUCUCCGUGGAGUUCACUUGCAUGUCUUGUUACAGAUAUUGGUGGUUACAGCAACACUUGCUGCUGUAACAGUCACAAAUAAGAUCAUCAGGAGAGUGAGAGGACUGAAAGGGAUAACUGGUUUUCUGGGAGAGAGGAUGAGAAAGACUUCAGAACUGCAAAGCUGAAGAGAAACACGUUGACAUCAGUGGCAAACUUGAAAGCAGGAAAAGCAAGCAGGGCUAAACCACGUCAGAAGCAGUGGAGAGAUCAUGCUGUCCAGGUGAGCCUGCACUGAAGAGAGAUGCUGAAAGUUCAGGUGGUAUCAGUAGUUGUGAAUUAUUUUUUCUCCUCCUCACUGCUGUUGCAUGGCUUCUGUAAGAGGACAAAGGGAGAGGAUUCACUUACAUGAAGGAGCAGUGCUGGGUGGAUCAGCAUGCCUGGGAAGAAGCUGGUAGUACAGCCAUACUAGUGCACAAUCAGUGGCAUUUCAAACUGAGAGGCAAAAGAACAAAACUGGUGAUAACCCUCAGCAGUGUGCUUCUUACAAGAGACAGGUCUUCACAUUUCCAGCUGAGGCAUCAUUGACAGGACAUGUAAAUUACACACUUCAGCAUGUACACAGGCCACCUGAUGCACUGAAGAUGCAGCAAAUCACUUACACCUGCUGAGAAGACAGAGCAGUGUGUGCCCUGAUCAUGGAAGCACAGGAGUUUUCAGUGGUAGCUGUUCAGCACAACAGCCAUGCAGACCAGCUGCAGCUGAUUGCCAUGGCUCAAGCAGUGCUGUGGUCUCAUCAGAGAUUUCCAGCAGGACAAAUGCUGCUCUUAAUUUCCACCUGGGAAAAAAAGAGCAAAGGACAAUCUAGAGAAGUCAAUGUUGGUCACCUCUGCAGUAAGAAUGUAAUUUUAAUAUAAGUGAUUAUUUUGUCCAUUUUAAUGAGUCAAUAUUUGCGGUGUUGGGUUUAGAAAAAUAGUUCGGUCAUGCCUAGAGACACAUUUCUCAGGUAUCUGAUUGCUGCUUUUGUAAGAAAACUAAAUCUCUCUGUUCAUGUACCGCAGACUCAUUUUUCUCCCGCAGGUGGCAAUGCAUUUACUGUAGGAAGUGGCAGUAUCCCAAAAUGCUUAUUGCUUUUGCAUAGGUUGCUGUAUUUAAAGCUCGUCAGCAUGUAAGCCCAAACUUGCAGGCAGCAGAAAUCUGGAAUCUAGUUAAACGAAAAAUCUUGUUCUUUUUUGUCUUCAAAGGAUGUAAACUUCUUCAGGAUUUUUUUUAUCUCCAACAACUGAUUUGUCAGUACUUUACAACUGAAAUAUAAAUCACCUUGUCCUUGUAGUUGCAAUCAAGUUUCUUCUGUAUGUCUCUCAUUUUCAAGGGCUCUGUCCUCUUGCAUAAAGCAAGACUCAAGUGCUAGGUUUAGAGCCCAAACUGAAAGAUGGCUGCCUUGUAAUGUGUUUUGCUGGAGAAACUCUUUUUCAAAAUAUAUGAAUUUGGUAUGUGUUUUCCUCUUUCCUGAAGUGGAUGUUCCCUUUCUGAAUAAAGCAAGCUGUCACUCUGCA